AACGAAGUGAAUUGAAAUAUCUAAGUAACUUUAGGAAAAGAAAUCAAAAGAGAUUCUAUGAUUAGUGUGAAUGAAAGUAGAUGAGCCUAUAUCAGUAUAUGAUAUUAUUAAAGUUAAAUAAACUAAAUAGAUGAUGGCUUUUUAAUGUUAUAUUUAUAUAGAUAUAUAAUAAGUAAAACGGAGUAUAUAUCUGUUUAAAAAAAGGGGAACCUUCCUCUAAGGCUAAAUAUAAUGUAUAAGCGAUAGAGAAUAGUACCGUGAGGGAAAAGACGAAAUAGUAAUUCUAUAAGCAGCUCGAAUAUUAAGUAAUAAAAUAUAAGAGCGUACCUUUUGUAUAAUGGGUCAGCAAGUUAAUAUUAGAUGCGAGCUAGAUAAAAGCGAAGAUAAACUAACUAUGACCUACUGAUUAGUAUCUAAUAUUAGACCCGAAAUCUAGUGAUCUUACCAUUAUCAGGAAUAAAGUCCGAACGGGUUAUCGUUGUAAAGAUAUCCGAAGAAUUGUGGUAAGUAAGUGAAAGACAAAACUGACUAGACAAUAGCUGGUUUUCUACGAAACCUAUAUUAGUAGGCGGUUAUAAUAAUAUCAAGGCAGGUACAGCGAUGUAAUCUUAAUAUACGAUUUAAUAAAUUUUAUAUUAUUGCGGGGGCCUGAGAAUCCUACAAUUAAGUAUUUGCACUCGAAAGGGCUUUGAUAAAUGUUAGACUGUCAGACAUAGUACGAUAAGGUUGUAUGUCUAAAGGGAAACAGCCCAGAACAAGAGUUAAUAAGGUUCCUAAAUUAUUGUCAAGUGAAAUAAAGGUAGUGUUUAUCUUAUCCGGCCAGGAAGUGGGCUUAGGAGCGGCCAUCUUUUAAAGACCUCGUAAUAGAGCACUGGCUUAUAUAUUAAGGGCGCCUAAAAUUUAACGGAUCUAAACAAUAUACCGAAACCUUGUCCAUAUAUAAUAUAUAUGGGGUAGUAGAACAUAGGGUAAGUAUUAGACUUUUUCUUUUAAAGAACUAGAAUUAGACGACCCCAGAGAUAAUGCUGACAUGAGUAACGAUAAAGGGAUAAUAUCCCUCGCCUUAAGCUUAUGGUUUUUCAGGAAAAACUUAUGAUUUAACAUACCGUACCUAAAUUCUACCUCCAGUAAGCUAGUAGAGUAUACGAAGGCGUUUGAGUGAACAAUUAUAAAGGAACUCGGCAAAUUGGCUCCGUAACUUAGGGAUAAGGAGCACCACUUUACUUGAUUAAUAGCAAGUAAAGGAGGUAGCAUAAAAUCGUGUUGUACGACUGUUUAAUUAAAACACAGCACUUCGCUAAAAGGAAACUUGAUGUAUUGAGUGUGAUGUCUGCCCGAUGCUAUAAGUAUAAACAUUUAACUUAACUAUAAUAGGUUAAGCGAUAAUUAACCUGUAGUCAAUGGCGGCCUUAACUAUGAGGGUCCUAAGGUAGCGGAAUACCCUGGCCGUUAAAUGCGGUCUUGCAUGAAUGAUUUAACGAUACAACAGCUGUCUCUAUAAUUGGCUCAGUGAAAUUGGAAUAACUGUGAAGAUACAGUUUACCUCUAGAUAGACGAGAAGACCCUAUGCAGCUUUACUGCGACUAGUUAUAGGGUAUAAUGUAAUGGGUUAUUAGAGUAUAAGGUAAUUUAUUUACAGUUGAAACACCUUUACACCAUUUUUAUACUUUUUACCUCUAUAGGUACAAUUGCUAGGGGGCAGUUUAUGCGGGGCACAGAUCCCAUAAAAAGUAACUGGGAACAGGCUUAUUGCGCAAGAGAGUUCAAAUUGAGUGCGCAGUUUGGCACCUCGAUGUCGGCUUAGCUUAUCCACAUGAAUGCAGGAGUCAUGAAAGGUCGGACUGUUCGUCCGUUAAAAAGCUACACGAGCUGGGUUAAAUACGUCGUGAGACAGUAUGGUUUCUAUCUUCUAGGGGAAAUUAGAGUAAAAUUAGAUUAGCCGCUUAUUACGAAAGGAGUUAGGCCAUGUCGGUACUCUGCGGGGUAUGUCGAUGGUAUGUUAACCUCUGGUAUACCUGUUGUU
rnacentral:rRNA from 1 species